GAUGAACGCUAGCUACAGGCUUAACACAUGCAAGUCGAGGGGAAACGACAUCGAAAGCUUGCUUUUGAUGGGCGUCGACCGGCGCACGGGUGAGUAACGCGUAUCCAACCUGCCCAUCACUUGGGAAUAACCUUGCGAAAGUAAGACUAAUACCCAAUGAUAUCCCACGAAGGCAUCGGAAUGGGAUUCAAGAUUUAUCGGUGAUGGAUGGGGAUGCGUCUGAUUAGCUUGUUGGCGGGGUAACGGCCCACCAAGGCAACGAUCAGUAGGGGUUCUGAGAGGAAGGUCCCCCACAUUGGAACUGAGACACGGUCCAAACUCCUACGGGAGGCAGCAGUGAGGAAUAUUGGUCAAUGGGCGAGAGCCUGAACCAGCCAAGUAGCGUGCAGGAAGACGGCCCUAUGGGUUGUAAACUGCUUUUAUAAGGGAAUAAAGUGGGUCACGUGUGACUUUUUGCAUGUACCUUAUGAAUAAGGACCGGCUAAUUCCGUG
rnacentral:rRNA from 1 species